GAUUUUCCUGUUUUUCAAGACAGAUGUCUGGGGUUAAAAAAAGAACAAACAGAAAACAACAAGCUGUCACUACAUUUACCAUGCUGGACUCUGGUUCCAAAUGUGAUUUUCAUUCAUGCUGCUUGGUUGCCAAAGAACAUUAUCUGUCUAAUAAAUCAAGGUCUACAUUGGUCCUUGCCAAGUUAUUCUCUACCACCUUCUCUUGGCCUUUGAAACUCAUGCUGCUAUCAUCAAGCACUCCUGGCUGAGUUCGGCAUUUUCCUGAGGAGGUCAAUGCCUGGAUGCAUCUCAGAAAACACUGAGAGCAAGCCAAAAAGAGAUGGAAAUACCUGACUGGGAG